AUGGGUCAAAUGAGGCCUGUUAGCCUCGCUACUCCCCACUUCGCCCUUCUAUCCUCCCCUGCUAAACCCCAUGCAGGAACAAGUUACUUCUUCAUGUUGAAAGUCAUUUUUCUCCUACUGCUCAACAACUUAAGGCAUCUAUGGAAACAUCAAAGGAAUCUCAGGGGUUGAAUAGGAGACUUUACCCACAUAUAGAGCCAUACUAUUCAGGAUUUUUGAAGGUCCCAGAUAUCCAUACAUUGUACUGGGAGCAGUCAGGAAACCCAGAUGGGCAUAUUCAUCACCAAACAGCUGCAGUUUCAUUGUCCUACUAGUAUAUGAUGCUGAGGGCUUGAACUGGAAGAUAAACCCGAACCAUUAUCUUACAGAAGGAUACCUGAGUGCGGUGUUGGUGACUAAGAUCUCACGGGUAAUAAAGAUAAAGCUCAAGGAAAGGUUGUAAACCAUGUUAUUUCUGCAGAAUGAUACUUCUUGCACCUCAAUUUGGACAUGGAAAGUUAAGUCAUGCAUUUCAUGGACUGUGGAAGAUUUGCUUAGAAGCUCUUUCCCACUCUACAAUUCUUUCACAGAUGAUCUCAAUCAUUGAUGCUUGCUAUUUCUGUCUUCUCCAUAUUUCACAAACUUUAACUAUGAAACCUGUGACAUCUUGGUUGUUCGUGACAUGAAAAUGAUGUCAUCCAUUUGGAUUUUCAGCAUGAGAGCGCUUUAGAGAUUUCAUCCAAGAAAAUGAAAGCAACAAUUUUACUGUCGCUUACCACAAAAGGCUAAAUUCUGAUGAUAUUCACAUCCAGUUUAGAGCUGCUAAAAUUUGGACUACAUCAGAGUUGAUGACUGUCCAUCUUAUUCAAAUAUGAGAGAAUAUCAAAAGAGGGGAAGAUGACAACUUCUCAUUUGCAAGUCCUUUCUACAUCGGCAUCAUAUUUUCUUCGGUGGUACAGUGUAAUGGUAGUGGUCUUGGAUUGAAAAGCUAGCUCCAAAUUAUAUUUAAUUCCAUAUUAUGCAACUGCUUCUAAAAGGAGAAUACUCUAUGUUAAGCAAGAGAUGCUGCUGAACUUGACGGCAUGGUAGUACCAUGUUGUGCCAUAACAGUGUGCAUCGGCACAGCAGCACACAGGUUACUGGCAUGCAGCUGGUAGUGUGCUAAGUGCUAUGUGCUGUAGUGCUGUUGAGGCACUGGCAUGGUAUACUUCAUGCCAUAUGACUGGCGAUUUAAAAUCAAUGAGUGGGAAGAUUGACAUUUCUUUUUGCUUGUAUAAUGUGUCAAAAGGAGUCCAGAUCCUGGGGAGAGUGAAAUUUAUGUGAUAUUUUGUUAGAAGCACUAGUAUAGGGCAGCUUGUAAACAUCUGCUCAGCAAAUAAGAACUCAACUUGUUUUAACAGUCCUUUUAUAUUCCAAUUCGUAGGUUUGGUUCUCCUGCUGAUGCAUUGUAGAACUGUAAAUUAUGUUGGUGCUUGAUUGGACAUAUUUUCAAGUUCUUGAUGGUGCUCAAAGAUCCAUGCUACAAGAUUUCUAAAUGUGCCUGCACAGACUGAAAAUCAUUAUUGUUGUGGACCAAGGAUUUUCCCUUUGAUUCAUACCUGUUGGAUAAUGCUGACAAGAUUCAGCAUUUCAGAACCAAAAUUGUAAGGACAAAUUGCCACUACAAUGCCCAGCAUGGGCAAUGUUGUGUCUGGUUGUCUCCACUUUCACCAGAUUUGAAGGUGACCACUAACCUGGAAGGAUUAUCAUCUCAUGCGGCUAUAUGUUUUUUCAAAUUUGUGUUUCAUUCUUUCUAAUGUGUGUACCCUUUUGCAAUAACUAAUGCCAUCUUCAGCAUUUAUCCUUCUCAUGAUCUUGUCUUUUAUGCUAGAUCCUUUUUUAUUCCAAUGAUAAAAUGUAAUAAGAGAAUGAUGUUACUUUGCUAUUCUUGUUUAUCUGAUUUGAUGAAUUUUAAGAACUAAUGCAACGAAGAAAUUGGCUAGAUGACACCAACUUUCCGAAAA